GAGUGUUUUCUGGACCACACUCAUUUCACCUGUACACUCUUUCCCCAUCCUCCCACCUUCCGUCUUCUUCCUCAUGCAUCCUCUGCCCCCUGCUCCUCUCCUAUUCUUCGCGCUCUCCUGAAGCUCGGUGGCAUGGAUGCCGGAGAUGAGGAGGUGCCGAGGUGCUCGUCGGGCUUGCUGAAGAUAGUUUUCUGAGGUUGAUGUUGCGGCCUCCUUGGAGGCGCCUAGCUGUGCCGAGGCAUGAAGGGGUUGUCUCUCCUCGCAGGGAAGGCUGCUUCAAGUGGUGGAUCUGUUGCCGGGUGCACUUCUAGCUCCCAGAAGGUGAAAAACAUUAUCGCUGAUACCUCUGUUGCAACUGCACAUAGUGCAGCGUCAAGCUCUGCUGGCUCUGAAUCAAUGACUUGCACAAGUUCAAAGGGGCUAAUACAGAAUGUUGAAAUCCCAUUGAAGACAAUAUUCCUUAUGUGCUCAAGUCCCUUGGCAUUCAUAACCCUGUCUUCACCAAAGUGCACUUUAGCGAGAUUUUUCAAGUCCACAUUCAGUUGCAGUGUGGGUUGCCAUGUGCCAGGCAGCUACCAGUUAGAAAUGCAACGAUAUCAUGUGAUGUUUGUCCUGAUUUCUCUAUGGCAGAGGCUGGUGCUAUAAAGAGAGCAUCCUAACAUCUGGAAUGCAUGCACAAUGUUGUAGUUGUGGACUUGAGCACUACGUAACAUCUGGAAUUCACAGCAAAAUUGAUGUGCUGAACAUUAGGUGUAGAAUUGAGUAUAUGCACCUUUUGGACCGUCUCAGUUGUGUUGGGAAUAUAUUGUCCCAAUGGUCUGCUUGCUGUGACCUGCUGUUCGGUGUGGAGAAGCUUGCUUACAGUAAGAACCCUGUGUUACCGAAAAUUUGGAUCAUGCUGGGCCAUCAGUGCAGUCUGCCCAGAUGGAUUUGGUUGAAGCUGGUGAACUGAAAAAGAUUGUGAAGAGCCACUCAAAAUACCCUCUUUCACCUUUUGAGCUGGUGUUUGGACAUGAAGUUGUACCGCGGUCAAAAAUAGUUGAUAGUGUAUUGUUGGUUGACACAGCCUAACAUGCCUCAUAAAGUUCUGGAAAAGAAUUGGUUCCAUCACCCUCAACCUUGGACUAUAUCUAUCUGUGGAUAUAUUUCAAUGUCACGCAUUAUACAAAGAGGGAGUUUCAAUGUUGAUCUAUGUGACGCAGUCAUGAGGCUUUGGACUUAUUUGGAUAGAAGAAUGUAUGAGUAUUAUGUAAAAUAUGGAGAAAUACACAAGCCAUGACGCCAUUUCCUACCUGCUACAUUUGCAGUGCGUUGUAGCUAUACUUCUUUGCACUUGAAAUCUGGUUAUGUCCUUUUAUUCACCAAAUGUAAUGUUACUUGCAGGAAUCUGUAAUCCAGCAGCAAGACUAUCUGAAUUCUGAUAAAGUAUGAGCUAGUUUCAUAGGUGAUCACAUACGCUACAAAGUUGAAAAUUGCCAGAUGGUAAAUUUUACAUAAACCUGUUAUUUUCAAGGAAAGCUAUUGUGUGUGGCUUUGUCACAUGUGCUUA